AAUUCGAUGCAACGCGAAGAACCUUACCAGGCCUUGACAUGCAUCUCUAAGUUGGUGAAAGCCAGCGAGUCCCGAAAGGGACAAUUUGCACAGGUGCUGCAUGGCUGUCGUCAGCUCGUGUCGUGAGAUGUUGGGUUAAGUCCCGCAACGAGCGCAACCCUUACCCGUAGUUGCCAGCGCGUCAUGGCGGGAACUCUACGGGGACUGCCCGGGUUAACCGGGAGGAAGGUGGGGAUGAUGUCAAGUCCUCAUGGCCCUUAUGUCCAGGGCUACACACGUGCUACAAUGGGCGAUACAAACCGUUGCAAAGUCGCGAGAUGGAGCUAAUCGGAGAAAGUCGUCCUCAGUUCGGAUUGUAGUCUGCAACUCGACUACAUGAAGGUGGAAUCGCUAGUAAUCGUGUAUCAGAAUG
rnacentral:rRNA from 1 species